rnacentral:rRNA from 1 species
ACAGGCGCGUAAAUUGCCCGAAUCCUGACACAGGGAGGUAGUGACAAGAAAUAACAAUACAGGGCUACUUCUAGUCUUGUAAUUGGAAUGAGUACAACUUACAUCUCUUCACGAGGAUCAAUUGGAGGGCAAGUCUGGUGCCAGCAGCCGCGGUAAUUCCAGCUCCAAAAGCGUAUAUUAAAGUUGUUGCAGCUAAAACGCUCGUAGUCGGGUUUCGGGUCGGGCCGAGCGGUCUGCCGAUGGGUAUGCACUGUUUGGCGCGGCCUUCUUUCCGGAGACCGCGGCUACUCUUAACUGAGCGGGCGUGGGAGACGGAUCGUUUACUUUGAAAAAAUCAGAGUGUUUCAAGCAGGCAGCUCGCUCUUGCAUGGUACAGCAUGGGAUGAUUGAAUAGGACUCCGGUGCUAUUUUGUUGGUUUCGAACACCAGGAGUAAUGAUUAACAGGGACAGUCAGGGGCACUCGUAUUCCGUCGAGAGAGGUGAAAUUCUCAGACCAAUGGAAGACGAACCACUGCGAAAGCAUUUGCCAGGGAUGUUUUCACUGAUCAAGAACGAAAGUUAGGGGAUCGAAGACGAUCAGAUACCGUCGUAGUCUUAACCAUAAACCAUGCCGACUAGGGAUUGGAGGGUGUUCGUUUCGACCUCUUCAGCACCUUACGGGAAACUAAAGUCUUUGGGUUCCGGGGGGAGUAUGGUCGCAAGGCUGAAACUUAAAGGAAUUGACGGAAGGGCACCACCAGGAGUGGAGCCUGCGGCUUAAUUUGACUCAACACGGGGAAACUUACCAGGUCCAGACAUUGUUAGGAUUGACAGAUUGAGAGCUCUUUCUUGAUUCGAUGGGUGGUGGUGCAUGGGCCGUUCUUAGUUGGUGGAGUGAUUUGUCUGGUUAAUUCCGAUAACGAACGAGACCGUAGCCUGCUAAAUAGUCCCGCGAACUUCUUGUUGGCGGCCGACUUCUUAGAGGGACAACUCGUGACCAACAAAUGGAAGUUUGCGGCAAUAACAGGUCUGUGAUGCCCUUAGAUGUUCUGGCCGCACGCGCGCUACACUGAAGCACUCAACGAGUCCACCUCGACCAACAGGUCUGGGAAACCUUUUGAAAUUGCUUCGUGAUGGGGAUAGAUUAUUGCAACUAUUAAUCUUCAACGAGGAAUUCCUAGUAAGCGCAUGUCAUCAGCGCGCGUUGA